GUCGUUGGACAUGUAUAUAAAAAAACCUUAUACAAGAGGCUACUGGGAAUGGUUUCAAGGUACGCUUCAAAUGAAAUUGCGUAUGAGUUUGAGCGUGUACGCUAUUUCGAAAACAAUCUGUCUUCUUGUGGUUCUGUCUUGAGAACCACGCUAGGUCUUCCUUGUGCAUGUGAGCUACAAAGGUAUGAUGGUGGCAACAUCCUACUCGAUGCAGUUCAUAUGUACUGGAGGAGACUUAGUUUUUCAGACCAGGGGUUAUGUGAGGCCGAAGUCAGCAUCAAGGAAGAGAUGGAUAGAAUAUAUAAAAGAUUUGAGAAACUUUAUGUCUGUGGCAAGGUUACUUUGAAGAAUAAACUUUGAGAAUUUGCGUAUCCCGAUGAAAACUCUAUGUGUCCUCCUCUGUCAAAGGUUAACACCAAAGGUGCACUAAAGAAACUGAUGAAAAGAAGCCAAAGAUCGACAAAGUGUGAGCUGUCAUAUUGGGAGUAUGUUGAUGCUUAUCAUUCAGUUCAAAACAGCAACACUUCAAUCAGACGUACUACAUCAUCUUCUGAACCACCGAAGCCAGCAAGGAUGAUCUCGAUGUAGGAUCAAUUUGUGCCAUUUAUACAGGGUUUCAUUGAGGACGUUGUGUAUGUGAAAGUGGAUGGUAACUGUGGAUACCGGUCAGUUGCCGCUUAGUUAGAUAUGGGAGAAAAAUAUUGGGCAGUGAUGCGCAACGAAUUGAUUAAAGAACUUGGCAAAUGGUCGCAAGACUACAUAAAGCUCUUUGGUGGCAUAGAGAGAUUUGGACAGUUGAGGUUGUCCCUACAUGUGGACUGGUUAUCCAAGGUUAGUGUGGACAAGUGGGUGGAUAUAACGGAGAUAUGAUAUGUCAUUGCAUCAAGAUAUAAUGUAAUCCUUGUAUCGUUGUCACAACAACAAAGUUUCACAUUUUUCCUCUCAGAAGUCAACCACUGUCCGAUUCUUCUGUGCACCACAUGAUAUGCGUCGGUCAUGUGUUUGAAAAUCAUGAUGUGACCACAGUUGCACUUUAAACCCUAUAAAUAAUUGUUGUGUGAUCCGAGCAUUAGAAUUAUAAUUUUAACUCAAUUCCAAUUUUUAUUAAAUUGGAAUUGCUAUUAUGCUCA